CUCAAAAAAAUCCAUACGUCAUUACUACGUGAAAAAUCACGUAGAUCCACAAAAAUGAACUAUUCUCUGACUUCACCUGACUAACGUAACAGUUACCGGUCCUCUGGUGAUUUUCACUGCGAUGAACCCAUCGGUUCUACGUGGAAUUUAAGUACAUGAUUAAGUUCAUUCCGAUCGUGUUCAUUUUUUCCUCGAUUCAUUUUGUUUUGUGAUGAAUCGUAAAGAUGGCGUCAGUUGAAAAUCAACGUAAAGAUUUGGGAGACUUGCCAUCAAUUUGAUCAAAUUCUAAGGUAACUUCUUUAACGUUGCAGUGAGACUUACAUUGAUCUGAAUUCUACUUUUCGACAGAUCAUUGGGUCAUUUUUCGGGCUGCAUUAUUUUUAGCAAUGCAGAUCACAUUGGUACAUAGUUCUGGAAGAGCUGGUGGCUAUCCCGUUGGCGAAGUUCAAUCGAAAGUAACCUGGAACUGUUUGAAGAAUGAUUCGAGGAUAACGAGCCGAAAACCCACACCAAAACCAGGCAAUCUAGUACAAGACAAACCUUAAUAUCAGAUGUUUCGGCAUUGCUACGCCCAAUGUGUACAACUUGAUAUGUGCGAAAACGAUGGUUCAAUAAAUGUUAUGUUUUAUUUCUAA